CAGUAGGGAGGAAGGUAGUGUAGUUAACACCUGCAUUAUUUGACGUUACUACAGAAGAAGCACCGGCUAACUCCGUGCCAGCAGCCGCGGUAAUACGGAGGGUGCGAGCGUUAAUCGGAAUUACUGGGCGUAAAGCGCAUGCAGGCGGCCUGUUAAGUCAGAUGUGAAAGCCCGGGGCUUAACCUCGGAAUUGCAUUUGAAACUGGCAGGCUAGAGUCUUGUAGAGGGGGGUAGGAAUUUCAGGUGUAGCGGUGAAAUGCGUAGAGAUCUGAAGGAAUACCAGUGGCGAAGGCGGCCCCCUGGACAAAGACUGACGCUCAGAUGCGAAAGCGUGGGGAGCAAACAGGAUUAGAUACCCUGGUAG
rnacentral:rRNA from 1 species